rnacentral:rRNA from 1 species
GUCGAGCGGCAAGGGUAGCAAUACCCCUAGAGCGGCGGACGGGUGAGUAACACGUGGACAACCUGCCCUUAGGCGAGGGAUAGCCCAGGGAAACCUGGAUUAAUACCUUAUAAGACCACUGAUAGGAGUAUGAGUGGGGAAAGGUGCUACGGCGCCGCCUGAGGAUGGAUCUGCGUCCCAUUAGCUAGAUGGUAGGGUAAAGGCCUACCAUGGCGACGAUGGGUAGCCGGCCUGAGAGGGUGAACGGCCACACUGGAACUGAGAGACGGUCCAGACUCCUACGGGAGGCAGCAGCUAAGAAUCUUCCGCAAUGGGCGCAAGCCUGACGGAGCGACGCCGCGUGAACGAUGAAGGCCGCAAGGUUGUAAAGUUCUUUUCGGGAAGGAGAAUAAGGGGAGCAGGCAAUGGCUUUCCGAUGCCGUGAAUCCCGGAAUAAGCCCCGGCUAACUACGUGCCAGCAGCCGCGGUAACACGUAGGGGGCGAGCGUUGUUCGGAAUCAUUGGGCGUAAAGGGCGCGCAGGCGGCGUAUAAAGUCUGGCGUGAAAGUCCCCGGCUCAACCGGGGGAUAGCGUUGGAAACUGGUAUGCUUGAGUACGAGAGGGGAUGGCGGAAUUCCAGGUGUAGGGGUGAAAUCUGUAGAUAUCUGGAGGAACACCGAC